rnacentral:rRNA from 1 species
CCCUUAGAUGUUCUGGGCCGCACGCGCGCUACACUGAUGCAUUCAACGAGUCUAAAACCUGGUCUGAUAGGGCUGGGUAAUCUUUUGAAUGUGCAUCGUGAUUGGGAUAGAUGAUUGCAAUUCUUCAUCUUCAACGAGGAAUGCCUAGUAAACGCAAGUCAUCAGCUUGCAUUGAUUACGUCCCUGCCCUUUGUACACACCGCCCGUCGCUCCUACCGAUUGAAUGUUCCGAUGAAUUCCAUGGACUGAGAGUAUGAAUGGGUUCGCCUAUUUCUGCUUCUCGGGAAGUGGAGUAAAUCUUAACAUUUAGAGGAAGGAGAAGUCGUAACA